UAUUCGAGGGGUCUCUCUCCAUUGUCUCCUCCACCUCUCCGUUGCCGCCAGCAAAUCCUUGCCCAUGGCUGCUGCCUUCCUCCCCAUCCCUGACCACGUCCAGCGCCGCCGACUUUUCCUCUUCUUUUUCCCCAUUUUUUCUCUACUCCCCAACUCCAUUGUUGUCCGCCCACUCGCCCAACCCAAUCCUUUUGCCUCACACGGCGGUGCCGAGCGGGGGGCCAUAGCACAACCACGCGUGGGCUGCAGCUUGCGGAGUGCUCGGCGCCGUCGAGGAUGGCGGAGGACGAAGAAAACGAGGCCGCUGAUUGGUGGGGAUCCGGAGCACCCGUUGAUGGAGGUGGACUGGUGGCGAUGGCGUCAACGAUUCCCGUCCUUGUGGCUGUGAAGAUAUCCGGCUCGGACUCUACUCACCGCUCCAGAUCCUACCUGCCACCUUCGGAGCUCCUCCUUGCCCGAUCCCACACUUUCAUCGGGCGAUAUAUGGCGUGGGGCGGUGGAGCCUGGCACUGGGGCGAGUUUGGCCGGGCACGUCGAGCUGCGGCUCUGGCUGGAGCGGAGAGGAGUACUAGCGCCGGAGGAUAGCAGCGGGGCAGGAACAAAACCCGCGAGGAGGUGACGACGGCAGGAGGAGCGCUGCGCCCGACGUCCGGACGAGCUCCAGAUUCUCAAUCCACUCCACACUGCAGCCUCUGCUCGAGUCGCCCCCUCCCCGUCAUCUUCUGACAUGCCAGGCCAAGGCGCCAUCGUCUUCAACCUCGACGAGAUUCGGCAGCAAGGGCCGCCAUCGCCUUCAACCUCGACGAGAUUCGGCAGCAAGGCGCACGUCCGCACGUCUGCUCGCUCCCGCACGAUCUCGAGCAUCUAUCGACCAGACCCAGAUGCCUGCACGUGCGGCAGCCCUAGCCUCGGCCCCAAGCGAUAGCAGCGGCGCUGGCGGGAAGCAGUCAAGCGGAGCAGGCGCUUGCGGCAGCGACCGGCGGCCGGGUGUCCAGGCAAGCAGCGGUCAGCUGCGACGGCUGGCAGGGCAAGCGACGGGAACGGCCAGGCAUUCUUCACUUUCUUCAGUCUUCAGCAGUUCAGCUCUUUAGCCGCAUCAACUGAUCAACAUAGCAGUCUACCUCUAGCAGAUGACUGAUGUUGUUGGGCUGGUAACAAUGUUAACAGACAUCAUUCCUUCAAAAACAAAUCAGGAACCAAGGCAUAUCCACUUAACCAAGGUAUCGAAAACGGCCAAAUAAAAAUGUCGCCUCUUCUAUAAAAAGACCUGCUUCUCAAGACCACGUCAAACUGUGAAAUGAAAGAACCAACCAUUAAUUCUUGCCAAAGAACACACUCUACCUUAAGCUAGAUCAGGAUCAUUAGACAGAGUCACUUGCACAAUUUUUACAAUCAAGCAUCCACUGAGAAAUUACACCUCCCAACAGCCACAAUCAUGACAGCAUAACACUUUUGGACACUGCCACACACACAUUGCAAUCAUCAGCAAUAUCGUCUCUAAACAUGAACAAUAACCUAGAGGACACAAAUGCUAAAAUGCAAGAAAGCUCUAUGCCAGUCAGAGAAACAUGAUUGCAAUACAGCAUUGGUCUCUAAACAUGGAUUAAUUGAUAUAUAGUUUUUUUUUUAUAAAACACUGAAAUAGAGUUAGUUACUGAAUUCAUUCUUAUCCUGAUAUAGAGUUAGUUACCGAGAGGUUUAUGAUGCUUACUUUACUGUUGGGCUUUCCAUCUUGGCAAAUCACUAGCUGAAAUAGUCAGCUACUGAUUUUAGAUUAUAUCAACCAAGGCAGACCAUUUGUUAUUUUUCUCUGCUCUUACUCAUUUCAAACUAGAGUUCAUAGUACAUGUGUCAUGGUGAGCCAAUUUUAACGUAAAAUUAUCUGUAUUUACUUUGCCAUGCAUUCUCUGAAAAUAGUCUGUUGUAUUUUGAUUACUAAUGCAUAGGCUCACAGCUUCACAAUCACAUGUUAAAACAUGGAUGUACAUUGGACCAGCUUAGAUGAGGCAAUUGUCCACUUUUGUUGCUGUAGCGAUUUGAGUAUUUCAUCUUACUCUCUCAAUUACUUUAGUGUAAGUUUUUGUUUUCAGAUGUCUUUUAAUAGAUCCAAUUUUUAGAAGGAUACAGUUACCUUCCCACUGUCGGUUUCCUACAUGGGUAGGUAGCUGAGGAUUUGGCGAAGUAUAUGAACUCUUAUCUUCACAGUUGGAGACACAAACCAUCUAUAUUGGUAGAUUACCUAGCAAUUUAACACAGACUGCACAAGAUAUACACCAAGAAGUGAUUACAGUAGGCAUGGUGGUCUCUCCUUAGGCUGCACACAUGUUAGUCUAUAAAGGUUGAGCAUCCAUUCUUUUUUUUUUUAAUUGCAUUCAUAGGUCAGUCUGCUUCAUACUAUUGUGGCAGCAGGUACAGUACCGAGUUUUGCAUCUCCGGAUUAGAUUAUCUACAAUGUUAACUCUCAUAACCAUAAACAGACAUGCAAUAUGUUGUCAUCUUCUUAUACAUGCAUGCCGAGGCAUGUGAUCAAUUUGGAUUCAUAGUGGUACGUACUGACGUAGAUACAACUUGUACUGUCUGCAUAAAUUUAAAUAUGCUUUGAUGUACAUGUAUAUACAUCAGGUACAGAUUUCAUGCAUCAGGGAAGUAAUCGGCUCAAUUAGUUUAGUUAACAUUACAUACAUAUAGUUAGGCUGCAAUAUGUUAAUCAUUUUGUCUUGAGCGUUGCAUGUUUUUGCAGCUGCAGACAUUCAAUAGUCUAGGUACAUACGCUGAUUGUAUCUAUCGCGCAGUGCAUUCAUUGUCUCCUUAUGAUGUCUGGUCUUUUUCCCUGUAUGUAACCUAAGAGUGUGUGUGGUGCUGGCCGUCGGCGAGGCCGGCCUCCUUCCUCGCCUUCUCCGGUUCCGCAGCAUCAUCAUCGUCUCCAGGAUGUCACUGCUUAAGCGACUCUGGCCCUGCAGUUUUUCUUUUUCCAUCUGUGCCCGUUGUGCCUUCGUCCAUACCUGGUUCUCAGGCUGGUGUUAGUCCUUCAUUACCGACGGUUAAUACUUUUUUCCGGUCUGUUAGCCCGAGUUCUGCACAAGAUUUGAUUGGUUCAGGAAGUGGCCUGACUACCAUCGGAUAGUUUUUACAGAGUAUUUGCAUGUUCAGUUAUUGCUAUUCUCUAGCAUCCUUUAAUAUGUCCACAGAACUAUUAUACUGGAAGAUCACUUGGUAAUAGAUUGAUCCUAGAGGAGAUACAGUAUGAUAUGACGAUCUCAGGAAUAUGGCUUCUCUCCAUCAGAAGUUAGAUGCAGAUCAGCUUUCGUUCGUUCACAUGCAAGAUCUUUUCUGUGGUUACCCGCAAAAAAAAGAUCUUUUCUGUGGUUGUCCAUCCUUCUCAUAUUGUUGGAUUUUUAGUAUAUAUACCUUGAACACUCA